rnacentral:rRNA from 1 species
GGGAGCUUGCUCCCUGAUGUUAGCGGCGGACGGGUGAGUAACACGUGGGUAACCUGCCUGUAAGACUGGGAUAACUCCGGGAAACCGGGGCUAAUACCGGAUGGUUGUUUGAACCGCAUGGUUCAGACAUAAAAGGUGGCUUCGGCUACCACUUACAGAUGGACCCGCGGCGCAUUAGCUAGUUGGUGAGGUAACGGCUCACCAAGGCGACGAUGCGUAGCCGACCUGAGAGGGUGAUCGGCCACACUGGGACUGAGACACGGCCCAGACUCCUACGGGAGGCAGCAGUAGGGAAUCUUCCGCAAUGGACGAAAGUCUGACGGAGCAACGCCGCGUGAGUGAUGAAGGUUUUCGGAUCGUAAAGCUCUGUUGUUAGGGAAGAACAAGUGCCGUUCAAAUAGGGCGGCACCUUGACGGUACCUAACCAGAAAGCCACGGCUAACUACGUGCCAGCAGCCGCGGUAAUACGUAGGUGGCAAGCGUUGUCCGGAAUUAUUGGGCGUAAAGGGCUCGCAGGCGGUUUCUUAAGUCUGAUGUGAAAGCCCCCGGCUCAACCGGGGAGGGUCAUUGGAAACUGGGGAACUUGAGUGCAGAAGAGGAGAGUGGAAUUCCACGUGUAGCGGUGAAAUGCGUAGAGAUGUGGAGGAACACCAGUGGCGAAGGCGACUCUCUGGUCUGUAACUGACGCUGAGGAGCGAAAGCGUGGGGAGCGAACAGGAUUAGAUACCCUGGUAGUCCACGCCGUAAACGAUGAGUGCUAAGUGUUAGGGGGUUUCCGCCCCUUAGUGCUGCAGCUAACGCAUUAAGCACUCCGCCUGGGGAGUACGGUCGCAAGACUGAAACUCAAAGGAAUUGACGGGGGCCCGCACAAGCGGUGGAGCAUGUGGUUUAAUUCGAAGCAACGCGAAGAACCUUACCAGGUCUUGACAUCCUCUGACAAUCCUAGAGAUAGGACGUCCCCUUCGGGGGCAGAGUGACAGGUGGUGCAUGGUUGUCGUCAGCUCGUGUCGUGAGAUGUUGGGUUAAGUCCCGCAACGAGCGCAACCCUUGAUCUUAGUUGCCAGCAUUCAGUUGGGCACUCUAAGGUGACUGCCGGUGACAAACCGGAGGAAGGUGGGGAUGACGUCAAAUCAUCAUGCCCCUUAUGACCUGGGCUACACACGUGCUACAAUGGACAGAACAAAGGGCAGCGAAACCGCGAGGUUAAGCCAAUCCCACAAAUCUGUUCUCAGUUCGGAUCGCAGUCUGCAACUCGACUGCGUGAAGCUGGAAUCGCUAGUAAUCGCGGA